GGACAAACACCAAAGCAACCCUCUCUUUUGUUUCUUCUUCUUUUCCUUUUCCUCUUUUUUCUUUUCCUUCGCUUCUUUCUUCUUUCUCUU
rnacentral:ribozyme from 13 species